rnacentral:rRNA from 1 species
GUACGCUGGCGGCACGCCUAACACAUGCAAGUCGAACGGAGUAGCAAUACUCAGUGGCAGACGGGUGAGUAACAUGUAGGUAUCUGCCCUUUGGCCUGGAAUAACACGAGGAAACUUGUGCUAAUACCGGAUAAGUCUUUACGGAGAAAGCUUUAUGCACCAUUGGAUGAGCCUGCACUUGAUUAGUUUGUUGGUGGGGUAAUGGCCUACCAAGACUUUGAUCAAUAGCUGAUUUGAGAGGAUGAUCAGCCACAUUGGGACUGAGACACGGCCCAAACUCCUACGGGAGGCAGCAGUGGGGAAUCUUGCACAAUGGAGGAAACUCUGAUGCAGCGAUGCCGCGUGAGUGAAGAAGGCCCUUGGGUUGUAAAGCUCUUUCGUCGGGGAAGAAAAUGACUGUACCCGAAUAAGAAGGUCCGGCUA